ACCGGUAGCUUGCUCCACCGAGAAAAAGAGGAGUGGCGAACGGGUGAGUAACACGUGGGUAACCUGCCCAUCAUAAGGGGAUAACACUUGGAAACAGGUGCUAAUACCGUAUAACAAUCAAAACCGCAUGGUUUUGAUUUGAAAGGCGCUUUCGGGUGUCGCUGAUGGAUGGACCCGCGGUGCAUUAGCUAUUUGGUGAGGUAACGGCUCACCAAGGCCACAAUGCAUAACCGACCUGAGAGGGUGAUCGGCCACAUUGGGACUGAGACACGGCCCAAACUCCUACGGGAGGCAGCAGUAGGGAAUCUUCGGCAAUGGACGAAAGUCUGACCGAGCAACGCCGCGUGAGUGAAGAAGGUUUUCGGAUCGUAAAACUCUGUUGUUAGAGAAGAACAAGGAUGAGAGUAACUGUUCAUCCCUUGACGGUAUCUAACCAGAAAGCCACGGCUAACUACGUGCCAGCAGCCGCGGUAAUACGUAGGUGGCAAGCGUUGUCCGGAUUUAUUGGGCGUAAAGCGAGCGCAAGCGGUUUCUUAAGUCUGAUGUGAAAGCCCCCGGCUCAACCGGGGAGGGUCAUUGGAAACUGGGAGACUUGAGUGCAGAAUAGGAGAGUGGAAUUCCAUGUGUAG
rnacentral:rRNA from 1 species